UGACCUCGGAUCAGGUAAGGAUACCCGCUGAACUUAAGCAUAUCAAUAAGCGGAGGAA
rnacentral:rRNA from 1 species